rnacentral:rRNA from 1 species
AUGCAUGUCUAAGUAUAAAUAGUAUACAGUGUAAACUGCGAAUGGCUCAUUAAAACAGUUAUAGUUUAUUUGAUAGUGCACAUUACAUGGAUAACCGUGGUAAUUCUAGAGCUAAUACAUGCGCAAAUACCUGACUCACGAAAGGUAGCAUUUAUUAGAUUUAACCAUCAUAUGGUGAAUCAUAGUAACUUGGCGGACCGCGCUCCGGCGUGGUAAAUCAUUCAAGUUUCUGCCCUAUCAGCUUUCGAUGGUAGUGUAUUGGACUACCAUGGCAGUCACGGGUAACGGAGAAUUAGGGUUCGAUUCCGGAGAGGGAGCCUGAGAAACGGCUACCACAUCUAAGGAAGGCAGCAGGCGCGUAAAUUACCCAAUCCCAAUUCGGGGAGGUAGUGACAAGAAAUAACAACCUGAGUGGUUCGCCACUUCGGGAUUGCAAUGAGAUAAGUCUAAAUCCGUAAGCGAUUACCAAUUGGAGGGCAAGUCUGGUGCCAGCAGCCGCGGUAAUUCCAGCUCCAAUAGCGUAUACUUAAGUUGUUGCAGUUAAAAAGCUCGUAGUUGAAAAUCGAAUCAGCUUCAUUAUGGCUUCGGUCAUACUUGUUAGCUGGUUCUCCGUCUACAAACCUUUUUGCUCUUUUACGAGUGCAGCUUGGAGAGUAGACAAUUUACCUUGAAAAAAUUAGAGUGUUCCAGGCAGGUCUUCGCCGGAAUACAUUAGCAUGGAAUAAUGGAAUAGGACUAUGGUCUUUUGUUGGUUUUAGGGCCAGUGUAAUGAUUAAUAGGGACAGAUGGGGGCAUUAGUAUUUAAUUGUCAGAGGUGAAAAUUCUUGGAUUUAUUAAAGACUAACUUAUGCGAAAGCAUUUGCCAAGGAUGUUUUCAUUAAUCAAGAACGAAAGUUAGGGGAUCAAAGACGAUCAGAUACCGUCGUAGUCUUAACUAUAAACUAUACCGACUCGAGAUCGGAAGGUGCUCAAUAAGGCCCUUUCGGCAUCGUAAGAGAAAUCAAAGUCUUUGGGUUCUGGGGGGAGUAUGGUCGCAAGGCUGAAACUUAAAGGAAUUGACGGAAGGGCACCACCAGGAGUGGAGCCUGCGGCUUAAUUUGACUCAACACGGGGAAACUUACCAGGUCAAAACAUGGAUGGGAUUGACAGAUUGAAAGCUCUUUCUUGAUUCUAUGGGUGGUGGUGCAUGGCCGUUCUUAGUUGGUGGAGUGAUUUGUCUGGUUAAUUCCGAUAACGAACGAGACCUUAACCUGCUAACUAGUUUGUACCUAAAAAAGGUAUAUAUCUUCUUAGAGGGACUAUGUAUGUUAAAUGCAUGGAAGUUUAAGGCAAUAACAGGUCUGUGAUGCCCCUAGAUGUCCUGGGCCGCACGCGCGCUACACUGACACGUUCAGCGAGUUUAAUCUCCUAUCUCGAAAGGGUAUGGGAAAUCUUGUUAGGACGUGUCGUGCUGGGGAUAGAUCUUUGCAAUUAUAGAUCUUGAACGAGGAAUUCCUUGUAAGCACAGGUCAUCAGCCUGUGCUGAAUACGUCCCUGCCCUUUGUACACACCGCCCGUCGCUCCUACCGAUUUCGAGUGAUGUGGUGAACUAUCUGGACUGUGGACGGGCUUGAACCGUUCGCGGGAAGUUUCGUAAACCU